rnacentral:rRNA from 1 species
CCUACGGGGCGCAGCAGUAGGGAAUAUUGCUCAAUGGGGGAAACCCUGAAGCAGCAACGCCGCGUGGAGGAUGAAGGUUUUCGGAUUGUAAACUCCUUUUGUUAGAGAAGAUAAUGACGGUAUCUAACGAAUAAGCACCGGCUAACUCCGUGCCAGCAGCCGCGGUAAUACGGAGGGUGCAAGCGUUACUCGGAAUCACUGGGCGUAAAGCGCGCGUAGGCGGGAUAGCAAGUCAGAUGUGAAAUCCUAUGGCUUAACCAUAGAACUGCAUUUGAAACUGUUAUUCUAGAGUAUGGGAGAGGUAGGUGGAAUUCUUGGUGUAGGGGUAAAAUCCGUAGAGAUCAAGAGGAAUACUCAUUGCGAAGGCGACCUGCUAGAACAUAACUGACGCUGAUGCGCGAAAGCGUGGGGAGCAAACAGGAUUAGAUACCCCGGUAGUC